rnacentral:lncRNA from 1 species
GGGGGGGAUUUCAAAAUGGUGGAAGCUGAUUCAUAAUGGCGGCUUCAAUAGAAGGCAUGGUGGUUCAGAAUAUGUAUGUAAAUAAUUAGGCAGCAGUUGUGCAACAGUAUUGACCUUAAACGUCCUUGACCUGGAAGGCUCCAGUUGUUUGUAUCUUGAUUACUAGAGGUCAGGUGAGGCCCCACCCAACUCAUAUCUUCUCCAUCUUGACGUCCGUUAUGAUACAACAGAGUUUGGGCCAAAAUGGAGAAAAUAUGAAACGUAAGCAGGCAUGAGUGCAUUAUCUUGUACCAUGGGUGCAGUGGUCCCCCUAGUGUCAGGAAGUAAGAAAAUUAUCCAGUGUAUAAAAAAUCAUAAGACAGUUGCACACAAACUGAAAAUGAAAAUACAUAGUAUUGUCAGUCUACCAAAAAAACCAAAACAUAUAUAUAUAGUGAGGACUUGCACGCCUGGUGUAAUCCUGUGGUGCCCAGUGCUGGUCUGGCAACGAUCAUGUAGACAUAGCAGAAAUGACUGCACUCCAAGGACUUUGUAGCGAUUUUCAAAUAAAACUUAACUUUUAUUCAAUCCAUUUAAAAAGUCAACGUUUCAGCUCCCACAUGGAGCUUUCAUCAGGACAAAAAAAAUGUUUGUAGUGAGUAGCACCACCUCUAGGAAAUUCUCAUGAGCACAUUAACCUUAUUGGUUUGAAGAAAGUCAGUAGCAAUUAUUAUAGAUUAACAACUUGCUCAUAAUUUCAAUCUGUACAAUGCCCCAAAGUAGUCCUAGAUUUUCAUGUUUAUGCCAUGAGAUACUAGUUUGCGAUCAUACCACUUUAAACACCAUGGAAUUGUCAUAGUUAAUCUAUUCGAUAAACAACCAGAUCUUUAGCGAGAAUGCUGUUUUUGAUGAUCAGUAGGGUAGCUUAAAGGAAUACUAUAACUUUAGAAAUACAAUUCUUUAUUCCUAACGCUCAAGAGCCCUUGUCAAGAUGGGUAUAUACACAUAACCCACGAUGCUCUAUAAGGACCACUGGGGAACUGGUGCGCAUACGUGAUGAGCGUUUUCCUAUGGGUUUCUGUGUCACGGGUUUUAAUCCCUCAGUGCUUUGGAAGCACCUCUAAUAGUUGUCAGGAAGACAGUCCCUAGAGAUGGGUUUAACCCUGCAACGUAAACAUUUCAGGUUCUAAUAAACUGCAGUGUUUUACAUUGUAGGAUCAAAGGACUUGGCCACUUUACCCAGAUCAUUUCAUUGAGAUGACAUGUCCCUUUAAUAAAAAAUAAUAAUUUGCAGCUGGGUUUCUGAGUAAAUUCAUGGUCAUCUUCUGGAGUUGCAAAACAGGUAUCAUGAAACUGAAUAUCUACAUCAUAUGUGCCUUAAAAAGGUAGAUCCCUUGAUGAUUUGCAAGCCUUAUGACUAACAAAACAUUAUGAGGAUUGCAGUUUGACAAAAGCUUUGGAGUUACCUGUUAGCCUCCUCUGUUCUAGAUAUAACACACCUCUGCCAGUUUACUUUGUACAUGUAUUUAACUGUAUAUACUUUAUCUUUUCCUUGUUAUUAAUAUUUAAAAGAAAC